AACCAAUUUCAUUAGUUUGUAUGUUGUUUUGUGGCGGUUUUAAAGAUUUUCUAGCUAUAACUUAUGGUUUAAUUGAAGUGAUUUCUGUAAAUGGGUUUUGAAUAGUUUCGCAUUGGUAGGGCCGGGCCCGGUUGUACAAGAGCCAUUAAAUUCUCGGGAACCAAUGAGAGAAGGCGAUUUCUCUCUAUUGAAAAGACGACUUCUGUGAUUGGUUCUCGUAGAAAAGAUAGUCUUGAACACAAAAUCUUUCAUCUCCAUUAUUCUACAUAAAAUAUGUCGGUUUGUGGCGAUAAGCUGGUCUUUUAACAUGUGCUCAUUUUAGUCGAAUUUAACAAUACAAUUCUCAAUUCAGUGCUAGAAUAUGGUGAAAUGUGGUUCUAUUCUAAAGUUUAUCGGUUGUAAAAUGUGAUUUGUAACGAUUGUGCUUAUAAUAAGUUCAUGGUAUUUGGAACCGACUUAGCAUAGCAGAAUACAUUUUGAUAUCAAACAAGGAAUGAAGAGAUCAGUUUGUUUGUAAUGAGAACUCGAAAUGUUGGAGUUUGUAGCUUGGAUUCACUCCUGUCAUGGACCACAGCUUUCAAAUAUGAAUGAGAUUGGAGGAGGUGGAUGCCUGGAUGCUGAUGUGAGCUGGGCGGGCAUCCUGACGUCACUCCACCCUUCUGUCAUCGCCCGAAGCCUCCAAGUAGGGCAUGACAGGUAGAACGAGUAGUUGAUGAGGUGGUCCAUCUCACCACUGUGGGACGAAGCUCGAGACUAGUUCCAUUCAGUGAGCAGAGUGAGAGGAGAGUAGAACAGCACAGCGAGCGAAGUGAGUUCUGAGCGGUUGCAUGGUGGAGGAUUGUCAUUUGGUUGCUGUUGCUAGAGUGAGAGAUGAGAUGGAGCGGACGCUGCAUUAUCAGGUUAUUGAUGCUGUCUUGGGUUGAA